UACGGGGGGGGCAAGCGUUGUUCGGAAUUACUGGGCGUAAAGGGCUCGUAGGCGGCCAACUAAGUCAGACGUGAAAUCCCUCGGCUUAACCGGGGAACUGCAUCUGAUACUGGAUGGCUUGAGUUCGGGAGAGGGAUGCGGAAUUCCAGGUGUAGCGGUGAAAUGCGUAGAUAUCUGGAGGAACACCGGUGGCGAAAGCGGUUCACUGGCCCGACACUGACACUGAGGUGCGAAAGCUAGGGUAGCAAACGGG
rnacentral:rRNA from 1 species